GGUCUUUAAAAUUAAAAAAUUUGGCGGUAUUUUAGUCUAUUCAGAGGAACCUGUUCUAUAAUUGAUAAUCCACGAUUAGUUUAACUUUAUUUUAAAAUUUGUAUAUCGUUGUAGUAGAAUAUUUUAUAAGAAUUAAUAAUUUUCAAAAUAUUAUAUAAAAUAAUAAAUCAAAUCAAGGUGCAGUUUAUAAUAAAGCAAGAAAUGGGUUACAUUAAAUAUAUUUUUGGAAUUUUAAUUUAAAAUUAAUAUAAAAUUGGAUUUGAUAGUAAAAAAAAUUAUUUAGAU
rnacentral:rRNA from 1 species